rnacentral:rRNA from 1 species
AUUGAACGCUGGCGGCAUGCCUUACACAUGCAAGUCGAACGGCAGCACGGGAGCAGUCCUGGUGGCGAGUGGCGAACGGGUGAGUAAUGUAUCGGAACGUGCCCAGUCGUGGGGGAUAACGCAGCGAAAGCUGUGCUAAUACCGCAUACGAUCUAUGGAUGAAAGCGGGGGAUCGCAAGACCUCGCGCGAUUGGAGCGGCAGAUAUCAGAUUAGGUAGUUGGUGGGGUAAAGGCCCACCAAGCCGACGAUCUGUAGCUGGUCUGAGAGGACGACCAGCCACACUGGGACUGAGACACGGCCCAGACUCCUACGGGAGGCAGCAGUGGGGAAUUUUGGACAAUGGGCGCAAGCCUGAUCCAGCAAUGCCGCGUGCAGGAUGAAGGCCUUCGGGUUGUAAACUGCUUUUGUACGGAGCGAAACGGCUUCCACUAAUACUGGGGGCUAAUGACGGUACCGUAAGAAUAAGCACCGGCUAACUACGUGCCAGCAGCCGCCGUAA